CAACAAAACUUCACACAAAUUUUGAACCCGGUGCGGUGCCUCGACUGCAGCAUUUUUUUUUCAGAUUGCUAAUCGAUGGCCGACUUAUCGUGCAACGGAAAACGGAAGAUUUACUAAAGCUAUAACGAGGCGGCCCAUCUUAUAAUUCGCCCCACAUAACGCCGAAUGCCGAAUAUUGAUUGGCAGACAACUAUACUUUGAUUUACCGGUGACACAAUUUUGUUACGCGAAAGCUUACAUCACUGAUGGCCAUAUCCUUUAUCCUCGGAAGUCGUCGUCAUUGGAUGCGGAAAAGAUGUGGCACCCAUCAUCGACCGAUCGGGGGAUCUACCAGAAGAGAGCUGCCGGAAGGAGAAGCACUCGGUGAAUACAAGUACAUACAAUGAAAUAAUAAGUGCAUAAAUUCAAAUCCGAAUGACAAUUAAAAUACAUCUAUCUAAAAUGUG